AUUGAACGCUGGCGGCAUGCCUUACACAUGCAAGUCGAACGGCAGCAUGAUCUAGCUUGCUAGAUUGAUGGCGAGUGGCGAACAGGUGAGUAAUACAUCGGAACGUGCCCUGUAGUGGGGGAUAACUAGUCGAAAGAUUAGCUAAUACCGCAUACGACCUGAGGGUGAAAGUGGGGGACCGCAAGGCCUCAUGCUAUAGGAGCGGCCGAUGUCUGAUUAGCUAGUUGGUGGGGUAAAGGCCCACCAAGGCGACGAUCAGUAGCUGGUCUGAGAGGACGAUCAGCCACACUGGGACUGAGACACGGCCCAGACUCCUACGGGAGGCAGCAGUGGGGAAUUUUGGACAAUGGGCGAAAGCCUGAUCCAGCAAUGCCGCGCGUGUGAAGAAGGCCUUCGGGUUGUAAAGCACUUUUGUCCGGAAGGAAAUGGCUCUGGUUAAUACCUGGGGUCGAUGACGGUACCGGAAGAAUAAGGACCGGCUAACUACGUGCCAGCCGCCGCCGUAAUAC
rnacentral:rRNA from 1 species